rnacentral:tRNA from 1 species
AAUCCUCAGUAGCUCAGUGGUAGAGCAAUCGGCUGUUAACCGAUUGGUCGCUGGUUCAAGUCCAGCCUGGGGAGUUUUCACAGUUAAAAAGCUAUGUACAUCAAAUAUCUUGAAAAUUUUAAAUAUAAUAAAAUUAUUAUAUUUAAAAUUUUUAACUACUUU